rnacentral:rRNA from 1 species
GAUGAACGCUGGCGGCGUGCUUAACACAUGCAAGUCGAACGAUUAAACCGCCCUCGGGCGGAAAUAGAGUGGCGAACGGGUGAGUAACACGUGACCAACCUGCCCCGCGCUCCGGGACAACCGCUGGAAACGGCGGCUAAUACCGGAUACUCCGGCCAGCCCGCAUGGGCCGGCCGGGAAAGCCUUCACGGCGCGGGAUGGGGUCGCGGCCCAUUAGGUAGUAGGCGGGGUAACGGCCCACCUAGCCCGCGAUGGGUAGCCGGACUGAGAGGUCGACCGGCCACAUUGGGACUGAGAUACGGCCCAGACUCCUACGGGAGGCAGCAGUGGGGAAUUUUGCGCAAUGGGGGAAACCCUGACGCAGCAACGCCGCGUGCGGGACGACGGCCCUCGGGUUGUAAACCGCUUUCAGUGGGGACGAUGGUGACGGUACC